AGCGAACGCUGGCGGCAUGCCUAACACAUGCAAGUCGAACGAGACCUUCGGGUCUAGUGGCGCACGGGUGCGUAACGCGUGGGAACCUGCCCUUAGGUUCGGAAUAACUCCCCGAAAGGGGUGCUAAUACCGGAUAAUGUCUUCGGACCAAAGAUUUAUCGCCUUUGGAUGGGCCCGCGUUGGAUUAGCUAGUUGGUAGGGUAAAAGCCUACCAAGGCGACGAUCCAUAGCUGGUCUGAGAGGAUGAUCAGCCACACUGGGACUGAGACACGGCCCAGACUCCUACGGGAAGCAGCAGUGGGGAAUAUUGGACAAUGGGCGAAAGCCUGAUCCAGCAAAGCCGCGUGAGUGAUGAAGGCCUUAGGGUUGUAAAGCUCUUUUACCCGGGAUGAUAAUGACAGUACCGGGAGAAUAAGCUCCGGCUAACUCCGUG
rnacentral:rRNA from 1 species